rnacentral:rRNA from 1 species
GCUAGGAUAACGUGGGGCGUGCCUAAUACAUGCAAGUCGAGCGAACAGACGAGGAGCUUGCUCCUCUGACGUUAGCGGCGGACGGGUGAGUAACACGUGGAUAACCUACCUAUAAGACUGGGAUAACUUCGGGAAACCGGAGCUAAUACCGGAUAAUAUAUUGAACCGCAUGGUUCAAUAGUGAAAGACGGUUUUGCUGUCACUUAUAGAUGGAUCCGCGCCGCAUUAGCUAGUUGGUAAGGUAACGGCUUACCAAGGCAACGAUGCGUAGCCGACCUGAGAGGGUGAUCGGCCACACUGGAACUGAGACACGGUCCAGACUCCUACGGGAGGCAGCAGUAGGGAAUCUUCCGCAAUGGGCGAAAGCCUGACGGAGCAACGCCGCGUGAGUGAUGAAGGUCUUCGGAUCGUAAAACUCUGUUAUUAGGGAAGAACAAUGUGUAAGUACUAUGCACGUCUUGACGGU